rnacentral:rRNA from 1 species
GAGCUUGGCGGUGUUUUAGACCUCUCAGGGGAACCUGUUCCAUAAUCGACAAUCCGCGUUAAACCUAACCUUUGAUAGCAAUUCAGCCUGUAUACCGUCGUCGUCAGGUAACUUCUUAAAAUAUAGUAGUUAGCUUGAGAAUUUUAUUAAUUAAAACGUCAGAUCAAGGUGCAGCUAAUGAAAGGGUGAGGAUGGGUUACAAUUACAUAUUUGUAAAUACGGAAAACAUUUGAAAUAAUGUCUUAAAGGAGGACUUGAAAGUAAUUUUGAUUAUAUAAAUAGAAUGAAUAGGGCUCUGAAACGUGCACACAUCGCCCGUCGCUCUCGUUGAAAAAUGAGAUAAGUCGUAACAUAGUAGGGGUAAUGGAAAUUGUUCCUAGGC